rnacentral:rRNA from 1 species
GAUGAACGCUGGCGGCGUGCCUAAUACAUGCAAGUCGAGCGAACAGACGAGGAGCUUGCUCCUCUGACGUUAGCGGCGGACGGGUGAGUAACACGUGGAUAACCUACCUAUAAGACUGGGAUAACUUCGGGAAACCGUAGCUAAUACCGGAUAAUAUAUUGAACCGCAUGGUUCAAUAGUGAAAGACGGUUUUGCUGUAACUUAUAGAUGGAUCCGCGCCGCAUUAGCUAGUUGGUAAGGUAACGGCUUACCAAGGCAACGAUGCGUAGCCGACCUGAGAGGGUGAUCGGCCACACUGGAACUGAGACACGGUCCAGACUCCUACGGAAGGCAGCAGUAGGGAAUCUUCCGCAAUGGGCGAAAGCCUGACGGAGCAACGCCGCGUGAGUGAUGAAGGUCUUCGGAUCGUAAAACUCUGUUAUUAUGGAAGAACAAAUGUGUAAUUAACUAUGCACGUCUUGACGGUACCUAAUCAGAAAGCCACGGCUAACUACGUG